rnacentral:rRNA from 1 species
ACGGGGUGCAGCAGGCGCGAAACCUCCACAAUGCGCGAAAGCGUGAUGGGGUUAUCCCGAGUGCCGUCCGAUGAGGAUGGCUUUUUAUCGAUGUAAGGAUUCGAUAGAAUAAAGGGGGGGCAAGACUGGUGUCAGCCGCCGCGGUAAUACCAGCCCCCUGAGUGGUAAGGACGAUUAUUUGGCCUAAAGCGUUCGUAGCCGGCUUAUCAAGUCUUUUGUUAAAUCCAACGAUUCAAUCGUUGGGCCGCAAAAGAUACUGUUAUGCUAGAGGACGGGAGAGGUCGACGGUAGUCCAGGGGUAGGGGUGAAAUCCUAUAAUCCUUGGAGGACCACCAGUGGCGAAGGCGGUCGACUAGAACGUGCCUGACGGUGAGGGACGAAAGCUGGGGGAGCGAACCGGAUUAGAUACCCGGGUAGUCCCAGCUGUAAAAGAUGCGGGCUAGGUGUUGGGGCAGCCACGAGCUGCUCCAGUGCCGCAGAGAAGUUGUUAAGCCCGCCGCCUGGGAGUACGGCCGCAAGGC